AUUGAACGCUGGCGGCAGGCCUAACACAUGCAAGUCGAACGAGAGGCGGACGUGUGAGUAAUGUCUGGGAAACUGGCUGAGGGAGGGGGAUAACUACUGGAAACGGUAACUAAUACCGCCUACCAUCCGAUGAGCCAAGUUGGGAUUAGCUUGUGGGUGGGGUAACGGCUCACCAAGGCGUCGAUCCCUAUCUGGUCUGAGAGGAGUACCAGCAACACGGGAACUGAGACACGGUCCAGACUCCUACGUGAGGCAGCAGUGGGGAAUAUUGCACAAUGGGCGCAAGCCUGAUGCAGCCAUGCCGCGUGUGUGAAGAAGGCCUUCGGGUUGUAAAGUACUUUAAGCUGGGAGGCGUUACCCGCAGAAUAAGCACCGGCUAACGUCGUGCCAGCCGCCGCGGUAAUAC
rnacentral:rRNA from 1 species